rnacentral:rRNA from 1 species
UACGGAGGGUCCGAGCGUUAAUCGGAAUUACUGGGCGUAAAGCGUACGCAGGCGGUUUGUUAAGCGAGAUGUGAAAGCCCUGGGCUCAACCUAGGAAUAGCAUUUCGAACUGGCGAACUAGAGUCUUGUAGAGGGGGGUAGAAUUCCAGGUGUAGCGGUGAAAUGCGUAGAGAUCUGGAGGAAUACCGGUGGCGAAGGCGGCCCCCUGGACAAAGACUGACGCUCAGGUGCGAAAGCGUGGGGAGCAAACAGG